rnacentral:rRNA from 1 species
CACAUGCAAGUCGAACGCAGUAGCAAUACUGAGUGGCAAACGGGUGAGUAUAAUGUGGGAAUCUACCUUUUGGUUUGGAAUAACACGGGGAAACUUGUGCUAAUACCGAAUAAGCCCUUACGGGGAAAGUUUUAAUGCCGAAAGAUGAGCCUGCACUUGAUUAGCUAGUUGGUAAGGUAAAAGCUUACCAAGGCAACGAUCAAUAGCUGUUCUUAGAGGAAGACCAGCCACAUUGGGACUGAGACACGGCCCAGACUCCUACGGGAGGCAGCAGUGGGGAAUCUUGCACAAUGGGGGAAACCCUGAUGCAGCGAUGCCGCGUGAGUGAAGAAGGCCUUUGGGUUGUAAAACUCUUUCGUCGGGGAAGAAAAUGACUGUACCCGAAUAAGAAGGUCCGGCUAACUUCGUGCCAGCAGCCGCGGUAAUACGAAGGGACCUAGCGUAGUUCGGAAUUACUGGGCUUAAAGAGCUCGUAGGUGGUUAAAAAAGUUGAUGGUGAAAUCCCAAGGCUCAACCUUGGAACUGCCAUCAAAACUUUUUAGCUAGAGUGUGAUAGAGGUAAGUGGAAUUUCUAGUGUAGAGGUGAAAUUCGUAGAUAUUAGAAAGA